UACGAAGGGUGCAAGCGUUACUCGGAAUUACUGGGCGUAAAGCGUGCGUAGGCGGUUCGUUAAGUCUGAUGUGAAAGCCCUGGGCUCAACCUGGGAAUGGCAUUGGAUACUGGCGACCUAGAGUGCGGUAGAGGGGUGUGGAAUUCCCGGUGUAGCAGUGAAAUGCGUAGAUAUCGGGAGGAACAUCUGUGGCGAAGGCGACACCCUGGACCAGCACUGACACUGAGGCACGAAAGCGUGGGGAGCAAAAGGG
rnacentral:rRNA from 1 species